rnacentral:lncRNA from 12 species
UUUUCAGGAGGGCCCUACCGAAGAGAGCUGAGUGUCCGCCAGCCUCUGCCUCCAGAGCUACCUUCUGCUGGGGGAGGGCCAGGCAGCAAGCAAGUGCUGUGAAUAAUGAGUCAGUUGAAGUUGUGAUAAGUGUUGUGGAGGAAAUAAAACCGGGCAAUGGGACAGAGAGGAAGGCAGGGACAAAGUCACUCCAGAUAAGAGUCCGGGCCUUCCCUUCCCUGGCAGUGGGGAAGCCCAGGGAUAAGCAACUGAACCAGCUCAUAGUGAGUCAUGGGGAGAUACAAGGCGGAAAGUCGAAGAAUACUCAGAGGAGAAAGGAAAGGAAAAAGGCUUCGCAAUGGCACCCAACUGAAGGGAGUUUAGCAGAAGGUCAUGGAGAUACUCAUUUGGGGACGUGA